GGAAAAGACACAACGGAAAUGUUCCUGGGGAGACAAUAACCCGACGGACCAGUUGCACGAACCAAAACAUGCUAACCAGUGCGACUGGGAGACACUUCAAAGAAGUGGAGGAGAGGUUAAGAUGUAUUGUCCAUUCUGUGGAUUCCAGUUUGAGAACUUGACAAAAUUUUGCUGUUCCUGUGGAAAAGACAUAAGUUUUGUACCAGCUAAAGAUGCUUCCACAGAACAAGAACACUCAAGAGCCAAGACAGUUGUUCAGCAGUUCUUCAAGUACCGUGAAGGUAAAGAGGCAGAAAGGAGGAUGUUCUCAAAAUCCAAAAAGAAAUCAA